UGUCUUAUGAAUCCUUGUCACUUCUUCAUCUCGUCUAUACAAGAGUACUGGACGGAGAACUGAUAAGGGCUUGAAGGCAU
rnacentral:pre_miRNA from 1 species